rnacentral:ncRNA from 1 species
UGAAAUACGAUGAAAAGGAAUAGUAGACCUUAGAGAAAGAUCAGAGACCUGUUGGGUGGUGUGAAACAGGAUUUUAAAGAGGUUGAACUCGCCUUGGAGUAGCUGGCUGAACAUAGAUGUAGGCUAAGACGGAAGCCCACCGUUACAGGGGAUAGAUAUAGACUACUGAUGUAUCGAAAAAUAAUAAAGAGUGGUAUAGCAGAAGAACUUCUGUCUCUUGCAGGGAUAGAGGUUUUAUUUUUUGCAGAUAAGCUCUUUGGAUAUUGAUUUUUGAUAAUGCCUGGCAGUCUGUAUCAAUAGAGUGCAUGCAUCGGCAUGAAUAAGAGUGGUACCGCGAAAUCCCCCUUCGUCUCUUAA